CAGCAGCCGCGGUAACACGGAGGGUGCAAGCGUUAAUCGGAAUUACUGGGCGUAAAGCGUGCGUAGGCGGUUCGUUAAGUCUGUUGUGAAAGCCCCGGGCUCAACCUGGGAAUGGCAAUGGAUACUGGCGAGCUAGAGUGUGUCAGAGGAUGGUGGAAUUCCCGGUGUAGCGGUGAAAUGCGUAGAGAUCGGGAGGAACAUCAGUGGCGAAGGCGGCCAUCUGGCACAACACUGACGCUGAGGCACGAAAGCGUGGGGAGCAAACAGGAUUAGAUACCCCGGUAGUCCCUGUCUCUUAUAC
rnacentral:rRNA from 1 species